GACGAACGCUGGCGGCGUGCUUAACACAUGCAAGUCGAACGGAAAGGCCCCUUCGGGGGUACUCGAGUGGCGGACAGGUGAGUAACACGUGAGUAACCUGCCCUUGACUUCGGGAUAACUUCAGGAAACUGGGGCUAAUACCGGAUAGGAAUCCUUGCUGCAUGGUGGGGGUUGGAAAGCUUCGGCGGGUUUGGAUGGACUCGCGGCUUAUCAGCUUGUUGGUGGGGUAGUGGCUUACCAAGGCUUUGACGGGUAGCCGGCCUGAGAGGGCGACCGGCCACAUUGGGACUGGGAACCGGCCCAGACUCCUACGGGAGGCAGCAGGGGGGAAAAUUGCACAAUGGGCGGAAGCCUGAUGCAGCAACGCCGCGGGCGGGAUGACGGCCUUCGGGUUGUAAACCGCUUUCAGCAGGGGCGAAGCUUGUGGUGACGGUACCUGCAGAAGAAGCACCGGCUAACUACGUG
rnacentral:rRNA from 1 species